AGCCGCGAUGUUGUGCAUUCAUUAAAACAAAGAUUUUUAUUGAAUAUAUUUAUUUUGAUGAUUUCAGAUUUAUUAUAAAUGUAAAUCUUUUUUACUCAAGAUGUACUAAAUCCUACAUGAUAAAGAAAAUAAUAUUUAAAUGUAGAUUAAAUGAAAUCUUUAUAAAAUAUUUCAUGCACUUCAUAUAUUGCAAGUAUAUGAUUCGUUGGGAAAAAUUACUAAUAAUUUAUGGAACCUGCUGGGUAGUCAGGCACAGGCCUGAUUAAAUGCUUUAAUUAGGAUUUCUGACACCAGCUGAGUUUUUGUGUGACUGAGCAACACAGUUGUUUCUGGCCAAAGAAACAUGGUUAUGGCAUGGAUAAGGAUGGGACAGGAGAUCUGGCGGACACAAUAAGUUAGACCACAUAAUUUAACAAUAAUAACAAUUUAUAUUUAGUGUGAGAGAGACUCCUGUACAUUUGUUUACACAUCAAUUAUUUAACAUAUCUUUUGGAAAGAUAAAUAACUCAUUGUUCGAGUCUUGACUUUGAUUAGACAGUCAGUGGUCUAUCAAUAACUUGAUUUAGAUUUUCGGUGCUGGCAUACAGGAUGAAUUGAAAACAGUGAGAGAGGAAAUGACAAAUGAUGACAAUUUGGAGUAGGUGAAAAGAAUUCUCGAUGAAGAGAGAUGGUGAAUGCAGAUGGAGGAACAAGGAGGAAGACUCAACAAUGAAGGAUGGACAAACUUAGAAGACUGCGACGAUGGAUAGAUGAACUAGGAAGAAGAAGACAGCAAGUUAUGGGCAGAUUAGGAAGACGACCUCAAAUCUUUGUUUGGCAGGGCUUUUAUAUUGUCCAACACCUUCUCCCCUUCGGUCCAAAGAUGGGCCUCAAGCUUGUAGGGUACCGAAUUACCACAACUGUUCAUCUUUCUAUCAAUGUCUGGAAAAUGGAACUGCGUGCAAAAAAUUCUGCUCUCCUGGACUGUAUUAUAAUAAGCAGAAAAUGACAUGCAACUUCAUUGCCUGCAUUUUUCCCUCAGAUCUUAUCUAUAUUUGAUAGCCUCGGUUAUAAAUUUUUAUCUGUUGUUUGAAGAAAGGUUGUUUUCAUUCCAGUUUCUGGUGUGGUCCUCUUAUCUCCAUCUUUUAUUAUAAAUACUAUUAUUCCCUUCCUUAAUUAUCUUUUCAGUAUGUAAUAUUUUCCUGAAAUAACAGAUAUACGUGCUGUUAAUUACAUUGUUUUCGUCUUUCUUUUAAUAGAAAGAUGAAAACAAUGUAAGUAAUGACACCAGGAGGGUCCAGAUCAUGUCGCUUUCACAAAUUGAAUUUUGAAUACCAGAGAGUGAAACUGGUACUAAACUAUAGUAAGUCUUCCACACUACAAAAACAGAUCGACUAAUGCAAAACAUAUGGGGGAAACACUCAAUAAGUAUUAAACAGAUCCAUAUGAUAGAGUUGAACAGCUUGUUUUUAUCUAACCUCAUAGGCCUACAGUGUUAGGCUUCAAAGUGUCAAUUAAUAUGUAUAUUGAUGACAUUUAAUUUAUGUAUGCACAACAAAUUAACACAUACACAAACACACAAAAAAAAUGCAUUUUUUUUUUUUUUUUGUCAUAGAUCUUUUAAUAGAUCUUGGAGAAAUUUC
rnacentral:lncRNA from 1 species